UACAGAGGGUGCGAGCGUUGCUCGGUAUCACUGGGCUUAAAGGGCGCGUAGGCGGCCCGGUAAGUCAAAGGUGAAAUCCCUCGGCUCAACUGAGGAACUGCCUUUGAAACUGCUGGGCUUGAGUCCGGGAGGGGGUAGCGGAAUUCCCAGUGUAGCGGUGAAAUGCGUAGAUAUCAGGAAGAACACCGGUGGCGAAGGCGGCUCUCUGGGCCUUACCUGACGCUGAGGAGCGAAAGCGUGGGUAGCGAACAGG
rnacentral:rRNA from 1 species